rnacentral:rRNA from 1 species
UUGUAGGCUGAAACUCGCCUACAUGAAGCUGGAGUUACUAGUAAUCGCAGAUCAGAAUGCUGCGGUGAAUGCGUUCCCGGGUCUCGUACACACCGCCCGUCACACCACGGAAGUUGGGGGCGCCCGAAGCCACUUAGCUAACCCUUUUGGGAAGCGAGUGUCGAAGGUGAAAUCAAUAACUGGGGUGAAGUCGUAACAAGGUACC